AUAAUAUCGUUAUUGUUCCUAUACAAUCUGUUUUGUCUCAAUAAACUAUUUCUUGGUCCAAUAAACCAUAUAUGUAUAUAAAGCCUCAUAAAUUUCUCCCUGUGCCAUAGCGUUAGGCGUUAAAAGAAUUUAAUUCUUCAUUCUGUGUUCUGCCAUCGUCGAGAGCUGAGCUCCUCCAUCAGUCGCGUCAGUGUGUGUUUCUAAUUGAAUUGAAAAAAAAUUGUAAAUUUAUUGUGUGCUGGACUGCUGAAAAAACGUAUGCAGGUGAGUGAAAAAUAUAUAUUGUACAUAAAGGUAAAAAAAUAAGUUAUCAUUUGACCACGUUUUGUGUCUUAAAAACCAUAUAUUUUUGUCAAAAUUUCUCGUGGUACCUACCAGCCAAGUGUGAAUUUUUUUUGUGGCGUCACAUAACACGAUUCUACCAAAAGGCAUUUGAGUACAAAAAAGUAUAUUCAGCCCUAUCACGAAUUCCAUCGUAAUCGGAAUCUUGUUACGAAUACCUAAAAAACGAUCCAACUCCAUCGUUUUAAAAAACUUUUUAUGAAUCCCGAAAAAAAACUAUCGCCGAAUCUGUUAUUAGUGGCAAUUUGUAUGGGAUUUUCUACUACGAUAGAUUCUAAGAUCCAUUUUUUAGGGAUUCGUAACAAGAUUCUGAUUACGAUGGAAUUCGUGAUAGGGCUGAUUGCCUUAAGAAGUUAUCAUUUUUAAAAGCCAUAUAUUUUUAUCAACAUUUCUCGUGGUACCUACCAGUCACGUGUAAAUUUUGUUGUGUGAUAUCCACCGACGCUGUAUACCGUCUUAAUUAUAGUUUGUUUUUCAAGACCUUCAGAAAAAUGUUCUAAUGGUGAGAAGACGGUAGUAUUCGCUAUUUCACUGUAUCCACUCACAAAAAAAAUAAUCGAAAAGAUUUAUAAAUCCAAAAAUGUAAUAAUUUUGUUUUUAUUUCUCAAAAAACACAUUUAGGCAAUUGAAGAUCUACUAAACAGAAAUAAAAAAAAAAACUAUAUCUAUCAUUGAACUGACCUCCUCCUAUUAGUUGUGCGUACAACUUAAACAUCUGUUUUGGAAAACUUAUCGUGUCUGUGACUGCUGUCAUAUUUUAUCCAGGAAUUUUAUCGAACGAGCAAACGUGGUAAGAUUUACAAUAAAUAUUGUAAUUUAAAAUUCACGUUCAAGGCGAUAAACGAGCCUCAAAGUAUCAGACAAUCUAUAAAGACGUGUGGGAAAAGGGGAGUUCGAGAAGAGAUUCCAGAGUUAAUUGCAGAAGAAAACGCCGAACAAUGCUUGCGGUCAUUAAAAUGUGAUAAUCUUUCCUCGGAAGAAAUUGAUAGAUGUUGGAUGGCAAGUUCCUAAUACAGGCUCUUGGAAAUACAAAAUUCCGAAUCAACAUCAGACGUAUUUAAAAAAUGGCCACAAUACAAGCAACCAUCUGGCUUUCGCUUUGUGGACAUGGACUUUGGCUAUUUGCACAAGAACUGCUCUUCACUUUUAGUCACUUGGGAAGAACUUCAUGAGAAAAUAGUAGACUUUCUGUGCAUCGAAGACCACAUCAAAGAAAAAUCCAUAAAGCAGACUCUCAUAAAAAUGAAAUCGAUGAAUCCAUCCGAUAAUUGACGAGAUGCUACAAUUAUGUGGUCACUUCAUGGGUACUAUAUUCCCAGCCAAAAAUCUGUGCGAAAAGACAGAUUUGGAAAGAAAAGCACCACUAAGUAUACGAUCAAGGACUCCCAGGAAUCAUUUCUUUACAUUGGGCGAAAUACACAGGUGGUUGAAGAACAUAUCGGAUUUUUGAACCAGAGAUCAGAAAGUGUUCAGCCCUUCAUAUAUGUCCUUGGAGAAGAUGUAUUGAACUUUCAAGAGAUAUACGUCUACUUUGACGGUGUUAAAUUUCCAUUUGUAUCAUUUUCUAGGGCAGUAGACAUUUGCUUCAAAAUAUUUUUUUUAUUUAAUUUAAAGUUUCCUACUGCAUCCUCUAGUUUUUGGAAUUUUAUUGAAUCCUUAUAUUUUAGCAGUAAAAAAAAUCAAUGUUCAAAGACUCAUAUAUUGCUCAACGCAAUAAAACCAAUAAAUGUAUGUGACUAAAAAUAUGUUUUUUACUUUCAUAUUUUCAGAAAAGAAAACGUAUUGGACGUUGCUAUAAGAAAUUCACUUGGAUAUAUUUUAGAAAACGUAUUAGA